UUGCUUAUUUAAGCACUGAUCAUCCCAGUUCCCCAUCUCUGUCUCUUUAAUUCUGUCUCUAAAUGUUUCUUCUUGCCAUGUGGUCUUAGCACUGAACAAGAGAUCGGGAUCCUUAGCAGGGGUCUCUGAUAAGUACCUAUAGUUAUCAGACAGGUAGGCUGGACUUGUGGGUUGGAGGUUUCAGCAUAGAGUCAACCAAGGGCCUCAACAGAGAAGUGAGUGGAGACAGAUAAGACUCUAUCACCUGAGACCUGAAGUACUCCAUUUGGAAGAGAUCUGGGAACAGAUAUAACAUAGCAAGUGGAACUUAGAAUGAGUGUUCCAGAGAUAGGAGGAAACCACGGAGACUUUAGGGGACUGAAGAUGCAUAAAAUUUAAAGAUAUACAAUGAUGGUGAUAAUCCAGUAGAGAAGUGAAUGAUGCAGAUUGAAAGAAGAGAACUCUUGAAACGAUGAUACAGGGGAUCCAAAAUAGGAUGGAACCAAAUGCACACAUCAGAGCAAGCAGUCUUAGGACACAGAAGCACAAAUGCUUACAGCAUUUAUAAGAGCGGGAGUGCAAUGGAAGGAAGAUGAUCAGCUGAAAUAGGGUAGCAGAGGAAUGGUGGGAGAUUUGAGCACAGUAAAGGCAGAAGACUCACUGAAGUGGAGAAGAAUAAUAUAAUUGCUCUGCACCAUUAAUGGCAUACAGGUUUGUGGCCUUGUUUAAAGAAAGGAAAUCUCAGCACUUAUUUUUCUUCACAGAUUUUUUUUAGCUGCCCAUGCGCAGAGUAUGCCGAAAGAUUGAUUAAUUCUGAGAUGAACUUUGACUAA